rnacentral:rRNA from 1 species
UACGUAGGUGGCAAGCGUUAUCCGGAAUUACUGGGCGUAAAGCGCACGCAGGCGGUCUUUUAAGUUUGACGUGAAAGCUCCCGGCUUAACUGGGAGAGGUCGUUGAAGACUGGAAGACUUGAGGCAAUGAGAGGGGUGUAGAAUUCCCGGUGUAGUGGUGGAAUGCGUAGAUAUCGGGGGGAACACCGGUGGCGAAGGCGGGUCUCUGGGCAAUUCCUGACGCUGAGGCGCGAAAGCGUGGGGAGCAAACGGG